rnacentral:rRNA from 1 species
UCUUGGAAUAAAAUUAAUAAGAACUGCAAUAUUAAUAGAUAUAUUCUUUAAAAUCAAAGAAUUUGGCAGUAGUAUUUUAGUCUUGUUAGAGGAACCUGUUCUGUAAUCGAUAAAACACGUACGAUUUUAUUGGCUCUUGUUAUUCAGUUUGUAUAUCGUCAUUAUUAAAUAAUCUUGAAAAAGUUAAUUAUUGGGGUUAGAAAUUUAAGCUAAAUACAUUAGAUCAAGGUGCAGCUUAUGGGCAAGUAGAAAUGGGUUACAAUAAAAUAUAUUUAAAUCAAUUAUAGAUAGAAUUAUUUACAAAGAAGGUGGAUGUAAUUGUAAAAAUAAUUUAAUAAGUUAUUUUGAGAUAAGCUCUAAAUUAUGUACAUAUUGCCCAUCGCUUUCAUUUAAAAUGAAAUAAGUCGUAACAUA